rnacentral:rRNA from 1 species
AGAGUUUGAUCAUGGCUCAGAACGAACGCUGGCGGCAGGCCUAACACAUGCAAGUCGAACGAUAAGCCACCUUCGGGUGGUGGACAGUGGCAGACGGGUGAGUAACGCGUGGGAACGUGCCUUUCGGUUCGGAAUAACCCAGGGAAACUUGGGCUAAUACCGGAUACGCCCUUCGGGGGAAAGAUUCAUUGCCGAAAGAUCGGCCCGCGUCGGAUUAGCUAGUUGGUGGGGUAAUGGCUCACCAAGGCGACGAUCCGUAGCUGGUCUGAGAGGAUGACCAGCCACACUGGGACUGAGACACGGCCCAGACUCCUACGGGAGGCAGCAGUGGGGAAUAUUGGACAAUGGGCGCAAGCCUGAUCCAGCCAUGCCGCGUGGGUGAAGAAGGCCUUAGGGUUGUAAACCCCUUUCAGCGGGGAAGAUAAUGACGGUACCCGCAGGAGAAGUCCCGGCUAACUCCGUGCCAGCAGCCGCGGUAAUACGGAGGGGACUAGCGUUGUUCGGAAUUACUGGGCGUAAAGCGCACGUAGGCGGAUUUGUUAGUCAGGGGUGAAAUCCCGGGGCUCACCUCGGAACUGCCUUUUGAUACUGCAAAUCUCGA